rnacentral:ncRNA from 1 species
CGAGAAAGGCAAAACCGCUGAAAAGCGGUGACGCAAAUCCACCGGUCUAAGGGGCGCAGGCCCUACGAUAGCGGGGCUGCCGAA